rnacentral:rRNA from 1 species
UACGAAGGGGGCUAGCGUUGUUCGGAAUUACUGGGCGUAAAGCGCGCGCAGGCGGUUUUCCAAGUCAGUGGUGAAAGCCCAGAGCUCAACUCUGGAACUGCCAUUGAAACUGUUAAACUAGAGGACGAGAGAGGUGAGUGGAAUUCCCAGUGUAGAGGUGAAAUUCGUAGAUAUUGGGAAGAACACCGGUGGCGAAGGCGGCUCACUGGCUCGAUACUGACGCUGAGGUGCGAAAGCGUGGGGAGCAAACAGG